rnacentral:rRNA from 1 species
UGAGUAAUGCUUAGGAAUCUGCCCAGUAGUGGGGGACAACAGUCGGAAACGGCUGCUAAUACCGCAUACGCCCUACGGGGGAAAGCAGGGGAUCUUCGGACCUUGCGCUAUUGGAUGAGCCUAAGUCGGAUUAGCUAGUUGGUGAGGUAAAGGCUCACCAAGGCCACGAUCCGUAGCUGGUUUGAGAGGAUGAUCAGCCACAUCGGGACUGAGACACGGCCCGAACUCCUACGGGAGGCAGCAGUGGGGAAUAUUGGACAAUGGGGGCAACCCUGAUCCAGCCAUGCCGCGUGUGUGAAGAAGGCUUUCGGGUUGUAAAGCACUUUCAGCGAGGAGGAAGGCUCUAAAGCUAAUACCUUUAGGGAUUGACGUUACUCGCAGAAGAAGCACCGGCUAACUCCGUGCCAGCAGCCGCGGUAAUACGGAGGGUGCAAGCGUUAAUCGGAAUUACUGGGCGUAAAGCGCGCGUA